rnacentral:snoRNA from 1 species
AGCUGUAAGGGGAUGAGAAAUAUUCAAUCAAUUAUACAGUUAUCCCUGUCUUAAGAGAUAAUGUCGAGAAUACUUAAUCUGAAACAAGC